GACGAACGCUGGCGGCGUGCUUAACACAUGCAAGUCGAGCGGAAAGGCCCCUUCGGGGGUACUCGAGCGGCGAACGGGUGAGUAACACGUGGGUAAUCAACCCCUGACAUCGGGAUACCCCGGGGAAACCCGGAUCAAUACCGGAUAAGGUGCGGAGGCGCAGGCCGCCGUACCAAAGGUAGCUUCGGCUUCCGGUCAGGGACGAGCCCGCGGCCCAUUAGCUUGUUGGUGGGGUAAUGGCCCACCAAGGCGACGAUGGGUAGCUGGGCUGAGAGGACGAUCAGCCACACUGGGACUGAGACACGGCCCAGACUCCUACGGGAGGCAGCAGUGGGGAAUCUUGCGCAAUGGGCGGAAGCCUGACGCAGCAACGCCGCGUGCGGGAAGAAGGCCUUAGGGUCGUAAACCGCUUUCAGGGGGGACGAAGCUUCCGGGGUGAAUAGCCUACGGGGUGACGGUACUCCCAGAAGAAGGUCCGGCUAACUACGUGCCAGCAGCCGCAGUAA
rnacentral:rRNA from 1 species